AGUGAACGCUGGCGGUAGGCCUAACACAUGCAAGUCGAACGGCAGCACAGUAAGAGCUUGCUCUUACGGGUGGCGAGUGGCGGACGUGUGAGGAAUACAUCCGAAUCUACUUUUUCGUGGGGGUUAACGUAGGGAAACUUACGCUAAUACCGCAUACGACCUACGGGUGAAAGCAGGGGAUCUUCUGACCUUGCGCGAUUGAAUGAGCCGAUGUCGGAUUAGCUAGUUGGCGGGGUAAUGGCCCACCAAGGCGACGAUCCGUAGCUGGUCUGAGAGGAUGAUCGGCCACACUGGAACUGAGACACGGUCCAGACGCCUGCGGGAGGCAGCAGUGGGGAAUAUUGGACAGUGGGCGCAAGCCUGGUCCAGCCAGACCACGUGGGAGGAGAAGGCGUUCGGGUUGUGAAGACGGUUUGUUGGGAGAGAAAAGCAGCAGGUUAAGACCCCGCUGUUCUGACGGUACCCGAAGAAUAAGUACCGGCUAACUUCGUG
rnacentral:rRNA from 1 species